rnacentral:rRNA from 1 species
CCUACGGGAGGCUGCAGUGGGGAAUAUUGCGCAAUGGGCGAAAGCCUGACGCAGCGACGCCGCGUGAGGGAUGAAGGUCUUCGGAUCGUAAACCUCUGUCAGCAGGGAAGAACGGUCACUGUGCUAAUCAGCAGUGAAUUGACGGUACCUGCAAAGGAAGCACCGGCUAACUCCGUGCCAGCAGCCGCGGUAAUACGGAGGGUGCGAGCGUUAAUCGGAAUUACUGGGCGUAAAGCGCUCGUAGGCGGUAUGUCAAGUCAAGGGGGAAAUCCCCGCGCUCAACGUGGGAACUGCCUUUGAAACUGGCAAACUGGAGUGUGUGAGAGGAUAGUGGAAUUCCAGGUGUAGGAGUGAAAUCCGUAGAUAUCUGGAGGAACAUCAGUGGCGAAGGCGACUAUCUGGCACAUAACUGACGCUGAGGAGCGAAAGCGUGGGUAGUAAACAGGAUUAGAAACCCCAGUAGUC